AGUGUUCGAACGGAGGUUGUCCAUGGUGUGUUCAUUUUAUUUAUGAUGAGUAUUACAUGGCCAAUCUCCUUUCGGCACU
ensembl:miRNA Mir496a microRNA 496a